rnacentral:rRNA from 1 species
CGGGGGGCUAGUGUUAUUCGGAAUGACUAGGCGUAAAGGGCACGUAGGCGGUGAAUCCGGUUGAAAGUGAAAGUCGCCAGCUCAACUGGCGGAAUGCUUUCAAAACCAAUUCACUUGAGUAAGAUAGAGGAUAGUGGAAUUUCGUGUGUAGAGAUAAAAUUCACAGAUAUACGAAGGAACACCAAAAGCGAAGGCAGCUUUCUGGGGUCUCUACUGACGCUGAGGUGCGAAAGCAUAGGGAGCAAACAGGAUU